rnacentral:pre_miRNA from 1 species
AUGAUACUCCCUCCGUCCCAAAAUUCUUGUCUUAAAUUUGUCUAGAUACGGAUGUAUCUAAUACUAAAACGUGACUUGAUACGUCCGUAUUUAGACAAAUUUAAGACAGGAAUUUUGAAACGGAGGGAGUACAUC